rnacentral:rRNA from 1 species
CUUGCAAAAGCAAAGAAUAAGAGGUCCAGCCUGCCCUGUGACUAUAUGUUUAACGGCCGCGGUAUUUUAACCGUGCGAAGGUAGCGCAAUCACUUGUCUUUUAAAUGAAGACCUGUAUGAAUGGCACAACGAGGGCUUAACUGUCUCCUUUUUCAGGUCAAUGAAAUUGAUCUCCCCGUGCAGAAGCGGGUAUAUAUACAUAAGACGAGAAGACCCUAUGGAGCUUUAGACACCAAGGCAUUUCAUGUUAAACACCCUUAUUACAAUAGGCUAAACCAAAUGAACCAUGCCCCUAUGUCUUUGGUUGGGGCGACCGCGGGGAAACAAAAAACCCCCACGUGGAAUGGGAGCACUGCCUCCUAAAACCAAGAGCUGCAGCUCUAGUAAACAGAAAUUCUGACCAUCAGAUCCGGCAAUGCCGAUCAACGGACCGAGUUACCCUAGGGAUAACAGCGCAAUCCCCUUUUAGAGCCCAUAUCGACAAGGGGGUUUACGACCUCGAUGUUGGAUCAGGACAUCCUAAUGGUGCAGCCGCUAUUAAGGGUUCGUUUGUUCAACGAUUAAAGUCCU